rnacentral:rRNA from 1 species
UAAAAUUUAUAAAAUUAGGUAGUAAAGAAAUUUCUGAAACCUAAAGAAUUUGGCGGUAUUUUAAAUAAUUGGAGGAACCUGUUAUUUAAUUGACAAUCCACAGCAUAUCUUACCUAAAUUUUAUUUGUAUAUCGUCGUUUUGAUAAUAUUUAAAAAUAAUAAUCAAUUUUAAUAAAUUUUUAAAAUUCAGAUCAAGGUGCAGUAUAUUUAGGUUAUAAUGGGUUACAAUAUAUCUAUAUAAAAUGAAUAUAAAAUUGAAAUUAUAUUGAAGGUGGAUUCAAAAGUAAGAUUAAAUUAAAAAGUUAAUUUGAUUAAUAAUUUAAAAUAUGC